rnacentral:rRNA from 1 species
AUGUCCAUCGUCCCGUACGCCGGCGGAACCGGCGGAUCGCUGCCGCAGGCGGUGUCGCAGCUCACCGGCGAGAAUUACACGGCAUGGGCGAUCAAGAUGGAGGCAAACCUCGACGCGGCCGGGCUGUGGGAGGCGGUAGUCGUGCCGGAGGAUGCGGCGGCGGUCGUGAUCGCCAAGAAGGACAAGCCGGCGAGGGCAUACCUGCACAGCGCACUCGCGGAGAACCUGCUGCUGCAGGUGGCGGCGAAGAAGACCGCCGUGGAGGUGUGGGCUGCUCUGAAGGCGUGGUUCGUCGGCGCGGACCGUGUGCGGGCGGCGCGGCUAGGCACCUUGCGUAGGGAGUUCGAGCUCUUGCGCAUGGCAGACGCCGAGACACUGGACGACUUCGCCGGCAGGCUCGGUGGGAUGGCGGCGCGCUACGCGGCGUUGGGCUCGACUCUGGAGGACGCCGCCCUCGUCAAGAAGCUACUCGACUCGGUGCCGAACCGCCUGUACCCGGCGGUGGCCGGGAUCGAGCAGUUCUGUGACGUCGACGCCAUGGCGUUUGAGGAUGUGCUGGGGCAGCUGAAAGCCUUCGACGAGAGGCUGCGACAGCGCGGGCGGGACGGAGGCAACCACGGCGGCGAGCAGCUGAUGUUUACCGCAGCACAGUGGCGGGCGCGCGAGCAGCGUCAGGGCGGCAGGCGUGGAGAGGACGAUGACGAAGGGGCGCGUAGCGAGGCGUCGGGCUUCGGCGGGAACCGGCGAGGCCACUGCUACAAGUGUGGUGACCGUGGGCACUUCAAGCGCGAGUGCCCGCAGUGGAAGAAGGCACCGGCACCGGAGUGUGCACUACUGGUCGACGGCGACGUCGAGGACGGCGGGCUGCUCUGA